AUCGCUUCUCGGCUCCUCGGACCUAAGAUCAAAGUGUAGUACCUGUUCUUAUCAGUUUAAUAUCUGAUAUGCCCUUUAUUUGAGGACUGUAUAUUAAAUUGAUUUUUGAAACAGGGGGAUGGAAUGGGAGCUUGUUCUGUCCACCCUAUGCAUUGACCUGGUAUUGCAAUGUCUCCGGGAAUGGUAAAAAAAAA
rnacentral:snRNA from 1 species